GGUUAUUAGGCCGUAAUUUGAGUAUUGAUAUUUCAAGAACUUGUGCUUUAAGCACCUGAGAUUUGCAUAUUUUGAGUUAUAUAAUAGUAUUUGAUCUUCGGAUCCUCGGUUGAGUUUUGGAAUCCACUUUUCAGAGUUUAUUACAGAUUACAGAUAUGAGUUUGGUCUUCAUUAUAGACCCUUGAGUUACUUUAAGGUGGAUUUGCUAAAAGUUUUGAGCCUAAGUAUGGGAGUAGUAUUUAGCA
rnacentral:lncRNA from 1 species